rnacentral:misc_RNA from 1 species
GGGGAGUCACUUCUUCAAUCGCUGCUAAAUUCGCCUUCUUCCCACCCACUCCGCCUUCUUACACUGUAAUCGCUGACGAAUCCCGCGAUGGCCGCCUCUACAUUCCCGAGAUUCCCAGACGUGACGAUGUUGAUGUUCUUCGUCUUCGGACUCGUCGAGGGAAUGAUAUUGUGGCUGUUCAUGUUAAACACCCUAAACCUUCCGGUACUCUGC